rnacentral:rRNA from 1 species
GGAUUAGAUACCCUGGUAGUCCACGCUGUAAACGAUGAUUACUCGAUAUUGGCUUUUUAGUCAGUGUCCAAGCGAAAGCGUUAAGUAAUCCACCUGGGGAGUACGUUCGCAAGAAUGAAACUCAAAGGAAUUGACGGGGGCCCGCACAAGCGGUGGAGCAUGUGGUUUAAUUCGAUGAUACGCGAGGAACCUUACCAGGGCUUAAAUGCAGAACGACAGAGGUGGAAACACCUCCUUCUUCGGACGGUCUGCAAGGUGCUGCAUGGUUGUCGUCAGCUCGUGCCG